UGGGGAAUAUUGGACAAUGGGCGCAAGCCUGAUCCAGCCAUACCGCGUGGGUGAAGAAGGCCUUCGGGUUGUAAAGCCCUUUUGUUGGGAAAGAAAUCCAUCUGGUUAAUACCCGGGUGGGAUGACGGUACCCAAAGAAUAAGCACCGGCUAACUUCGUGCCAGCAGCCGCGGUAAUACGAAGGGUGCAAGCGUUACUCGGAAUUACUGGGCGUAAAGCGUGCGUAGGUGGUCGUUUAAGUCCGUUGUGAAAGCCCUGGGCUCAACCUGGGAACUGCAGUGGAUACUGGGCGACUAGAAUGUGGUAGAGGGUAGCGGAAUUCCUGGUGUAGCAGUGAAAUGCGUAGAGAUCAGGAGGAACAUCCAUGGCGAAGGCAGCUACCUGGACCAACAUUGACACUGAGGCACGAAAGCGUGGGGAGCAAACA
rnacentral:rRNA from 1 species